UUUGGUUCUUGGCAUUUUGGCUAAGAUCAAGUGUAGCAUCUGUUCUUAUCAGUUUAAUAUCUGAUACGUCUUCGAUGAAAGGACUUCAUAUUAAACUGAUUUUUUUUGGUGGGUUUUU
rfam:Lonchura striata domestica isolate white83orange57 scaffold_48, whole genome shotgun sequence.